UUUCCCCCGGGAAAAACUAGCAUAUCAAUAAGCGGAGGAAAAGAAACCAACAGGGAUUGCCCUAGUAACGGCGAGUGAAGCGGCAACAGCUCAAAUUUGAAAUCUGGCGCAAGCCCGAGUUGUAAUUUGUAGAGGAUGUUUCUGGCGACGUGCCUUCCGAGUGCCCUGGAACGGGACGCCAUAGAGGGUGAGAGCCCCGUACGGUUGGAUGCCUAGCCUCUGUGAAACUCCUUCGACGAGUCGAGUAGUUUGGGAAUGCUGCUCUAAAUGGGAGGUAUACGUCUUCUAAAGCUAAAUACCGGCCAGAGACCGAUAGCGCACAAGUAGAGUGAUCGAAAGAUGAAAAGCACUUUGAAAAGAGGGUUAAAAAGUACGUGAAAUUGUUGAAAGGGAAGCGUUCAUGACCAGACUUGGGCAGGUUGAUCAUCCGUGGUUCUCCGCGGUGCACUCUGCCUGCCCAGGCCAGCAUCAGUUCGCCCCGGGGGAUAAAAGCUUUGGGAAUGUGGCUCCUCCGGGAGUGUUAUAGCCCACUGCAUAAUACCCUGGGGUGGACUGAGGUUCGCGCUCUGCAAGGAUGCUGGCGUAAUGGUCAUCAACGACCCGUCUUGAAACACGGACCAAGGAGUCGUCUUCGUAUGCGAGUGUUCGGGUGUCAAACCCCUACGCGUAAUGAAAGUGAACGUAGGAGAGAGCUUCGGCGCAUCUCCGACCGAUCCUGAUGUUCUCGGAUGGAUUUGAGUAAGAGCAUACGGGGCCGGACCCGAAAGAAGGUGAACUAUGCCUGUAUAGGGUGAAGCCAGAGGAAACUCUGGUGGAGGCUCGCAGCGGUUCUGACGUGCAAAUCGAUCGUCAAAUAUGGGCAUGGGGGCGAAAGACUAAUCGACUUUUUG
rnacentral:rRNA from 1 species